AUGUAAUUUGGGCUUUGGCCCAAAACAUUAGCAAAAAAAAAGUAUGCCGUCCAAAUAUAUACAUGGCUGCGUCUAAUAUAAUAUUAAUAAUAACCAACUCGAUCAGAAAAGAAAACCCAGGCUCCGAACGAAUUUGUGAGAAGAGAGGAUUUUAGGGUUUUUAAUUCAACAACUCGAUCAGAAAAGAGAGGAUUUUAGGGUUAAAAUUCCAUUCCCGUUCGUUCGUUCCCAUGGGUGGAGGCAGUAAAAGCCGAACAAAAAAGAAAUCAAAGUCUAAGAAGAAACUGACAUCUUCUGAACGUCAAUCUAUUUAUGAUCAGAUUUAUGCUCAGGUACUAUCUGAUAUACAAGCCAAAAAAGUAGCAGAAGAAGAGGAAGCCCGUCGAUUAGCACAAGAGGCUCUUGCUCAAAAAAAAACUGCAGGCCCGCAAAGCAGAAGAGGCAGCAAAAAAGGCUCAUACUCUAUAUUUACUCCGGGACCUUGCUGAUAUAACUCAGCGUAAUUUCUUGCGACACCUGACUAAAGAAAGUGUUUUUGAAAGACUUUUAAAAGUUACAAACACAGCCCUGGACAAUGAAGAUGAUACAGCUUCACCAAUUCAAUCUGUGCACAUGCCAACACGAUAUGGCAAGGAGGUCAACUAUGAAAAUGAUAUGAAGCCCUUGGAUGCCAGCAGCAGCCAGCCGUUGGAUGAGCUCAACAAAAAGUCAACACAAAACCUUAGCCUUGAGGAUAAAGCUACUGUUCAGGAGGGGGGUAUUGGUAGCGCCCAACUGCUCUAGAUAUUGGACCUAGGUUUAUUAUUUUGUGUCGCAUAGCCUAGUUGUUGCAAGUGUACUAUGAAAUGGCUUUUGGAGUAAGCGAGCAACCAGAGAAACAAUAUUUAUAACUAAUAGUGUGGCUUUGUAAACUGUUCUGAAUCCUUCUACUUCCUAUGCAUACUUGGAGAAUUUCUGUUA